GCCCACGUAGCUCAGUUGGUAGAGCACGUCCUUGGUAAGGACGGGGUCACCGGUUCAAGUCCGGUCGUGGGCUCCA
rnacentral:tRNA from 4 species